AUGCCAGAUGUUGUGGAGAGCAUGGCUGCUGGGUCCCUUCGGCCACACAUGCUGAAGUCAUGAAGUCAGGAAACCUGACUCAGUAGUCGCUGUUCCAGUGUGGGGGCUGACAAAGCACCGCAUGGUCUGGGACGGCUGGAAACCGAGCCCAUCCCCGGAGCCCAGUCCUCUUCUGAGUGUGUUCUUGGGCUGGGGUCAGCGCGAGGGAGCCUGCAGACUUCGGACUACUUCAGCACUUUCUGGGAAACCGUGAAAGGGCUUCCCAGUUUGCACCAGCCCUGAUGAUCCCCAGGCCACUGAGGAAGGGCCACACAGUACACCAACCAGUCCAUGUCUGCCGGAUAUGCUUCUAGAGUGCCACUAAAACCUCUUCUGAAGAAAAGACUCUGCAGAGCAAAGAGGAAAAGAGGCACAGGAAUUCCCAGGCAAGAAAUACAGAUAGUAAAAGCUGUUGCACGGAGCUCCUGGAAGGCUGGUGAGCAGAGCAAAUGGACAAGAGAAGCUAUUCACAUCUUCCAAACUCUGAGACAAGACAUCCUGGGACAAAUCACUGUGAGGACUGCAGCCAGUUAUGGCAGGAGGUCCCGUAUCACUGAAUCUGGAGCUGGAGGGGUCCAGGAAACACCAGCAGUCAUUUUGCCGGAGAUAUUGAUCAGCCAGAGAAUACUCGUCUGUGAACUGGGUAAAUCCAGGGGCAGGACUGGAGGCAGGUUUACCUGAAGUAAGCAACAGUGUCCGGUGGAAUGAGGAGCCUAACAUUCUAGGGAUUGACAUGGAUUCCAAUGAGCAUCCUAACCUAAACACUUCAAGCUCCAUUAGACUCACUAGUCAGAAGACCUGCUGGCAGAAUGACUUGUGUUGUGGCCUGAAUCAGCUUCUCCAGCCUUGGACUCCACUCAAGACUUAAUAACCUUAUGCCUUACUCAGCAACAUGGUCAGAGGAGGACAUCCAUAUGUGAGUUUGAGAAGCCCUACCUGCCACAGGUCCUCUGUCUUCCCCACAAGACUGCAAGCAUCAAGAGGGCAGGUCCCUAUCUAAAUUCUUCAAGGCAGAUAUUGCCGUGGAAACGUCAAUUCCCCAAGCCAAGAAGACCCUGUUUCCCAGAAGCUGCUUCUACAGACUCUAGAAUAUAGAUGAGCCUGGCCCAAUCACACACUAUAUCUUGACCCAGCGGAUUUGCAGCAUACCUGCA